AAUGAAGCAGUACAACAUGGAAUAGAAAAAAGAAUGAGUAGCUGGCUGCCCCCGCGCUUGUCUGACCUUCCUUUCUCCUCCCGUGCUACACCCAUUGGUGAUGGACGCCAUUUGCGAGUGCCCCCAAGCUCGAUCCCUAGCUAAGAUCCCAAAAUGUCGGAACCAGAUCCACUAAAUACCAAAUUGCCCGAAGGCGUUCUUACUGGGAUCUUUGACGGAUGCUUGCCUAUACCCAUUGGAAAUGAUUCGAACAGCUCAAGAUCUGGAUCUCAGGAUGAAGCUGUAUAUAAUGGAUUCAGUGGUUAUGCAUCUCUUUUGGAUAGUUGUUUAUUUGGUGAGAAUAAAUGUCAACGGGAUCCGAAUACAAGAGGUUAUGCAUCUGUGUUGUAGAGACCACUUAUUCUAGGCAUGCCUUUAUUUUAUUGCCUUUUGUUCCUAGGUUCUGUCUACUACUAUAAGAUUCUUGUAUGUCAUUACUAGUUAUCUGAUAGUUACUAAAAUUACAACAAUUGUUAAGCUCUUUUUCAAAAAUUGUGAAAAAACUAAACACUCUGCAUAAGCUCUUUUUCAGAUACUUAAUAGCUUGUCAUAAUCUCUUUUGUAGUCAGAUCUUUUCUUAGGGUUAAUUGGAAUGCCAGAACUAGGUUGGUUUGCCGUAUGUUGAAAUAUAUUUGUCAGCAAGGCACAUGUUUUCCUUAACCACUGCAGAUAUCAUUGCAUUCUUACUCUUUUUUAUGAGCUGGAUGCAGCGUGCAUUCUGAUGUCUUAAUGCACCAAUAAACCAAUUAUUAGCCUGCAAUUGAAGGAAAAACCUGUUAACACUACCAUACAAAAAGUUGGAUUGAAAAACUAGAGAUUAGGACCAUCUUUCCGCCCAAGCUCCAUCUGAAGUGGGACCAUUCCAGCAUUCUUUGAAAUGGCUAUACCAGUACCACCUCUAGUAAAGCUAAGAAGCAAAAAACAAAAAAACAAAAAAAACAAAUAAGGUUGUCGCACUGAAACUGAAGAUAUUAAAUAUCAACAAGCGCUGCUGAACUAGCUUUGAGGCAAUUCAUGCGGUCAGGUAAAGCUUAAAAAACAGCUAAUAACGGGAAAAAA